GCCCCCAUCGUCUAGUGGCCCAGGACGCCGCCCUUUCAAGGCGGUAACGGGGAUUCGAACUCCCCUGGGGGCACCG
rnacentral:tRNA from 1 species